GACGAACGCUGGCGGUGUGCUUCACACAUGCAAGUCGAACGAGGUAGCAAUACCUAGUGGCGGACGGGUGAGUAACGCGUGGGAAUCUGCCUUUAGAUGGGGGAUAACGGGCCGAAAGGUCCGCUAAUACCGCAUAUGCCGCGAGGUGAAAGGAGUAAUCCGUCUAAAGAUGAGCCCGCGUCCGAUUAGCUAGUUGGUAGAGUAAGAGCCUACCAAGGCGACGAUCGGUAGCUGGUCUGAGAGGAUGAUCAGCCACAAUGGGACUGAGAAACGGCCCAUACUCCUACGGGAGGCAGCAGUGGGGAAUUUUACGCAAUGGGGGAAACCCUGACGUAGCGACACCGCGUGAGCGAAGAAGCCCUUUGGGGUGUAAAGCUCUGUCAGCUGGAACGAAAACAAUGACGGUACCAGCAGAGGAAGCAUCGGCUAACUACGUGCCAGCCGCCGCAGUAA
rnacentral:rRNA from 1 species